rnacentral:rRNA from 1 species
CCUACGGGAGGCAGCAGUGAGGAAUAUUGGUCAAUGGGCGCGAGCCUGAACCAGCCAAGUAGCGUGAAGGAUGAAUGCCCUACGGGUUGUAAACUUCUUUUAUAAAGGAAUAAAGUGAGGCAAGUGUGCCUGUUUGUAUGUACUGUAUGAAUAAGGAGCGGCUAACUCCGUGCCAGCAGCCGCGGUAAUACGGAGGAUCCGAGCGUUAUCCGGCUUUAUUGGGGUGAAAGGGAGCGUAGAUGGGUUGUUAAGUCAGUUGUGAAAGUUUGCGGCUCAACCGUAAAAUUGCAAUUGAUACUGGCAGCCUUGAGUACAGUUGAGGUAGGCGGAAUUCGUGUUGUAGCGGU